GGAUGUGAGGGUGAUCUGGCUGGGACAUCUGUCACCCCAUUGAUUGGAAGGGUUAAUUUGGUUGAUCUGGCUGGUUAGGCGGGUGUCCCCUUCCUCCCUCACCACUCCAUGUGUGUCCCUCCUGAAGCUGCGUGCUCUGUCAAAGAGGAUGGCCUUUCCUGAAUAGAGACGGACCAGUCUUCAGUCCAGGGUAUAUGAGUAGCUGCGCUUCCCUGCUAGAACCUCCAAACAAGCUCUCAAGGAUCCCAGUUCAAGCCCUGGCUCCCUACCUGCAGGGGAGUCGCUUCACAGGCAGUGAAGCAGGUCUGCAGGUGUCUUUCUCU
rnacentral:snRNA from 1 species